rnacentral:rRNA from 1 species
AACAAGGUCUCCGUUGGUGAACCAGCGGAGGGAUCAUUAUCGAGUGUUUAGAACUCCCAAACCCACUGCGAACCACAGCGUCGUUGCCUCGGCGGACCGCCCCGGCGCCCUCGGGCCCGGACCAAGGCGCCCGCCGGAGGGACCACAAACUCUUGUAUCUGGAUGCAUUGCUCUGAGUAAACAAGCAAAAUGAAUCAAAACUUUCAACAACGGAUCUCUUGGUUCUGGCAUCGAUGAAGAACGCAGCGAAAUGCGAUAAGUAAUGUGAAUUGCAGAAUUCAGUGAAUCAUCGAAUCUUUGAACGCACAUUGCGCCCGCCAGUAUUCUGGCGGGCAUGCCUGUUCGAGCGUCAUUUCAACCCUCGGGCCCCCCCUUACGGGGACGGGCGCGGUGUUGGGGGUCCGGCCCUGGCCGCCCCCGAAAUGCAGUGGCGACCCCGCCGCGGCCUCUCCUGCGCAGUAAGCAAACGCUCGCAACGAGGGACCCGGAGGACGAGUCCGCCGUAAAACGACCACUUCCUAGAAGUUGACCUCGGAUCAGGUAGGGAUACCCGCUGAACUUAAGCAUA